CACGUAGGGCGCAAGCGUUGUCCGGAAUUAUUGGGCGUAAAGAGCUCGUAGGCGGUCUGUUGCGUCCGCUGUGAAAACUCGGGGCUUAACCCCGAGCCUGCAGUGGAUACGGGCAGGCUAGAGUUCGGCAGGGGAGACUGGAAUUCCUGGUGUAGCGGUGAAAUGCGCAGAUAUCAGGAGGAACACCGGUGGCGAAGGCGGGUCUCUGGGCCGAUACUGACACUGAGGAGCGAAAGCGUGGGGAGCGAACAGG
rnacentral:rRNA from 1 species